rnacentral:rRNA from 1 species
AUGGAGAGUUUGAUCCUGGCUCAGGAUGAACGCUGGCGGCGUGCCUAAUACAUGCAAGUCGAACGCUUCACUUCGGUGAAGAGUGGCGAACGGGUGAGUAAUACAUAAGUAACCUGGCAUCUACAGGGGGAUAACUGAUGGAAACGUCAGCUAAGACCGCAUAGGUGUAGAGAUCGCAUGAACUCUAUAUGAAAAGUGCUACGGGACUGGUAGAUGAUGGACUUAUGGCGCAUUAGCUGGUUGGUAGGGUAACGGCCUACCAAGGCGACGAUGCGUAGCCGACCUGAGAGGGUGACCGGCCACACUGGGACUGAGACACGGCCCAGACUCCUACGGGAGGCAGCAGUAGGGAAUUUUCGGCAAUGGGGGAAACCCUGACCGAGCAACGCCGCGUGAAGGAAGAAGUAAUUCGUUAUGUAAACUUCUGUCAUAGAGGAAGAACGGUGGAUAUAGGGAAUGAUAUCCAAGUGACGGUACUCUAUAAGAAAGCCACGGCUAACUACGUGCCAGCAGCCGCGGUAAUACGUAGGUGGCGAGCGUUAUCCGGAAUUAUUGGGCGUAAAGAGGGAGCAGGCGGCACUAAGGGUCUGUGGUGAAAGAUCGAAGCUUAACUUCGGUAAGCCAUGGAAACCGUAGAGCUAGAGUGUGUGAGAGGAUCGUGGAAUUCCAUGUGUAGCGGUGAAAUGCGUAGAUAUAUGGAGGAACACCAGUGGCGAAGGCGACGAUCUGGCGCAUAACUGACGCUCAGUCCCGAAAGCGUGGGGAGCAAAUAGGAUUAGAUACCCUAGUAGUCCACGCCGUAAACGAUGAGUACUAAGUGUCGGGCAACCGGUGCUGAAGUUAACACAUUAAGUACUCCGCCUGAGUAGUACGGUCGCAAGGCUGAAACUCAAAGGAAUUGACGGGCACCCGCACAAGCGGUGGAGCAUGCUGUUUAAUUCGAAGAUACGCGAAGAACCUUACCUAGACUUGACAUCCCAGGCAAAGCUAUAGAAAUAUAGUGGAGGUUAUCCUGGUGACAGGUGGUGCAUGGUUGUCGUCAGCUCGUGUCGUGAGAUGUUCGGUUAAGUCCGAUAACGAGCGCAACCCUUAUCGUUAGUUGCUAACAUUUAGUUGAGAACUCUAGCGAGACUGCCGGUGACAAACCGGAGGAAGGUGGGGAUGACGUCAAAUCAUCAUGCCCCUUACGUCUAGGGCUACAGGCGUGCUACAAUGGCCGAUACAAAAAGACGCAAUACCGCGAGGUGGAGCUAAUCUCUAAAAUCGGUCUCAGUUCGGAUUGGAGUCUGCAACUCGACUCCAUGAAGCUGGAAUCGCUAGUAAUCCUGAAUCAGAAUGUCAGGGUGAAUACGUUCCCGGGUGUUGUACACACCGCCCGUCACGCUAUGAGAGUCUGUAAUACCCGAAGUUGGUAGCCUAACCUUUUAGGAGGGGGCCGGCGAAGGUAGGACAGGUGAUUGGAGUGAAGUCGUAACAAGGUAUCCCUACCGGAAGGUGGGGAUGGAUCACCUCCUU